rnacentral:rRNA from 1 species
UCAAAGGUUAAGCCAUGCAUGUCUUAGUACAAACCAAAUAAGAAGGUGAAACCGCGAAUGGCUCAUUAAAUCAGCUAUUAUUUACUUGAUAUUUAUACCCUGUUUUUCCUUGGAUAACUGUGGUAAUUCUAGAGCUAAUACAUGCUUAUAUAGUCCCUGCCUUAAAAAUCAGGGCGCACUUAUUAGUAUCAAAACCGGUAACAGACUUUGGUCUGUAAACCAACCUAUGAUGACUCUGGAUAAUUUAUAGCUGAGCGCACAGUCUUUGUACUGGUGCUGCUUCUUUCAAGUGUCUGCCUUAUCAGCUUUCGAUUGUAAGUUAUGUGCUUACAAUGGCUAUAACGGGUGACGGGGAAUCAGGGUUCGAUUCCGGAGAGGGAGCCUGAGAAACGGCUACCACAUCCAAGGAAGGCAGCAGGCACGCAAAUUACCCACUCCCAGCACGGGGAGGUAGUGACGAAAAAUAACGAUGCGAGACUCAUCCGAGGCCUCGCAAUCGGAAUGAGUACACUUUAAAUCCUUUAACGAGGAUCCAUUGGAGGGCAAGUCUGGUGCCAGCAGCCGCGGUAAUUCCAGCUCCAAUAGCAUAUAUUAAAGUUGUUGCGGUUAAAAAGCUCGUAGUUGGAUUACCGUUCUGGACUGAUGGUACUUCGCCUUAUGGUGUUUACUAUCACGCUCCAAAACCGCCUACACAACGUAAAAGUUGUUGGGCUCCACCAGCUCGCAUGGGAUGCUCUUAACCGAGUGUCCUGAGUGGCUGGUAUGUUUACUUUGAAAAAAUUAGAGUGCUCAGAGCAGGCUAUUUGUAUUGCCUGAAUGACUAUGCAUGGAAUAAUGGAAUAGGACCUCGGUUCUAUUUUGUCGGUUUUCUUUGGAAUCCGAGGUAAUGACUAAGAGAGACAAACGGGGGCAUUUGUACUGUGGCGCUAGAGGUGAAAUUCUUGGACCGUCACAAGACAAACAACUGCGAAAGCAUUUGCCAAGGAUGUUUUCAUUAAUCAAGAACGAAAGUUAGAGGUUCGAAGGCGAUCAGAUACCGCCCUAGUUCUAACCAUAAACGAUGCUAACCAGCAAUCCGUCGGUGUUAUUCCCAUGACCCGGCGGGCAGCUUCCGGGAAACCAAAGUCUUUGAGUUUCGGGGGAAGUAUGGUUGCAAAGCUGAAACUUAAAGGAAUUGACGGAAGGGCACCACCAGGAGUGGAGCCUGCGGCUUAAUUUGACUCAACACGGGAAACCUCACCAGGCCCAGACACUGGAAGGAUUGACAGAUUGAGAGCUCUUUCUCGAUUCAGUGGGUGGUGGUGCAUGGCCGUUCUUAGUUGGU